rnacentral:rRNA from 1 species
AAACUUUCAACAACGGAUCUCUUGGUUCUGGCAUCGAUGAAGAACGCAGCGAAAUGUGAUAAGUAAUGUGAAUUGCAGAAUUCAGUGAAUCAUCGAAUCUUUGAACGCACAUUGCGCCCUCUGGUAUUCCGGAGGGCAUGCCUGUUCGAGCGUCAUUU